CCCAUCGCUUUUCUGAUUGUCCACCAUUUAUAGUGCUUGUGUCCCUGACUCCAUUUACAUGUUACGAGAGCAAUUUCAACAUGCAUCAUGUCUUAUAUUCUAUAUAUGAAGCACUAUUGUUUUCCUUUUUAUAGCUUCGUACAAAAUAGACAUAGUAUUUGUCAUGGAUAAAUCUGGAAGUAUUGGGCUAGGAAAUUUCAACCUGGAGAAACAAUUUGUUGCAAAUUUGAUUGAAUAUUUUCCAAUUUUCCCCUCCAAAACUCGAGUGGCUAUCGUCACAUAUUCAACUCAUGUAAAAGUGGAGUUCAACUUUAAUAAAUAUAUCAAUAAAGAAUGUUUACGGAAAGGCAUUCAAGAUAUAAGGUA